rnacentral:rRNA from 1 species
AUUGAACGCUGGCGGCAGGCCUAACACAUGCAAGUCGAGCGGCAGCGGGACCUUCGGGUUGCCGGCGAGCGGCGGACGGGUGAGUAAUGCCUAGGAAUCUGCCUGUUAGUGGGGGAUAACGCGGGGAAACUCGCGCUAAUACCGCAUACGUCCUACGGGAGAAAGCGGGGGCUCUUCGGACCUCGCGCUAACAGAUGAGCCUAGGUCGGAUUAGCUAGUUGGUGGGGUAAUGGCCCACCAAGGCGACGAUCCGUAACUGGUCUGAGAGGAUGAUCAGUCACACUGGAACGGAGACACGGUCCAGACUCCUACGGGAGGCAGCAGUGGGGAAUAUUUGACAAUGGGCGAAAGCCUGAUCCAGCCAUGCCGCGUGUGUGAAGAAGGUCUUCGGAUUGUAAAGCACUUUAAGUCGGGAGGAAGGGCUGUAGGCUAAUACCUUGCAGUUUUGACGUUACCGACAGAAUAAGCACCGGCUAACUUCGUGCCAGCAGCCGCCGUAACAC